rnacentral:lncRNA from 7 species
GCAGGCAUCAUUUCACAAAGUAUUCACCUUUUACCCCACGCUGCCAUGCCAGUUGCCAGUUACCUAGUUUUACUUUGAUGUCUCCCACUCUAACACUGACAGCGCUGGUAGAAGAAAUCUCAGGAGAUACUUCGUUAUGAAAACAAGACCCAAAGAUACAGCUGAUGUCUUAAGAUCAUAAACAUCCUACGGCGAACAGGGAAGUAUUCCAACUUCAAGGACUCUUUGGCUUUUCUUACUUUUCAUCUCACCAAUUUCACCCGGGAGCAAUUUGCAACAAUGCUAAUUGUAUGUUUUCCCUGAGCUGUGCAAAGUUAUAGGCCAAUUAUUUCUCUUCCACCCCUGUGAUGCAUGUGGGUUGCUGAAAAAUUCUGAAGGAAGGAGCCAAAUUUUUUUGUUCAAGCAACAAAUCAACAUGACUUCUUAAAGCCAGUGAAAAAUACAUUAUCAAAAUACAAGCAAGGAAAUGCAAGGUACAAGCAGAUUUAUCCUGCCAGUGAUUUCAGCAGGAAAAUGAUAAAGCUGGUGCCAAACAUUUCUGACUAUGAGGACGCAUGACGGAACAUUGCUGCGAAGUGUGGUGGCUUAGAAAGACACCAUGCAAUGCAGGACCAGCAGUCCUCCUAAGGCCAUCACACGAGGAACUUUCCUUCAGAAGUUUCCAUGAGCACUUCACCUCCCUUGAGAUCCAAACUGUACAAUUAAGAAUAGGCUGAUGUAUGUGUUGUGUCCCAAAGACAACCAUUCACUUAAAUUAGCAGCCACAAACCCCAGUGCAGUGACUUGGAUGAAGAACUACUUGGCGGCAACAGUCCAAAGGUCAUUCCCCUGACUCAUAAAAUGCUCUGUGAAAAAGGGGAAACCACGAGUGACUGUUUUAAUUAGAGAAAAUACCUUCCUUCUCCCAAGGAGACUGGGAUUAAUUUUCCAUAGCUUUGCAAACACCCUGCAGAAAGUUUAAAGUGACUGCUAUCACUUUUAAACACCAAAGACUUUGAAAGCAAAGACUAUCUUGACUAGUUUACGUCAAUAAAGAAAUAAAUCAAUGUUAUAUGAACAGUCAUUCACCAGUGCCUUUCCCCAAAAACUUUGACUUCUGAUGUUUCUACCCUGUGAAUAAUAAAGGUCCUGUUACCUUUUUUCACU